GGAGUUGUGGCUUAGUGGUAGAGCACUCGCCUAGCACAUGUGAGGCCCUGGGUUCAAUCCUCAGCACCA
rnacentral:tRNA from 1 species